rnacentral:rRNA from 1 species
AUGGGAUAUGCAAAAAUUCAUGUGGACGCAGGAGUAAGGUUUGAGCAGGGAGGAUCUGCAGCUGCUAUCUGUAGGGAUGACCAAGGUUUUUAUCUUGGAAGCUCAGCACUCGUCAUUUAUGGUGUACACGAUCCAACCGCUUUGGAGGCAAUUGCUUGCCGGGAGGCAUUAGCUUUGGCAGAGGACCUCAACUUGCAACAGUUCAUCAUUUCCUCAGAUUGCAAAGGAGUUGUCUCGGACAUUCAAAAGGGGACCAGAGGACGAUAUGGUACUAUUAUUAGCGAAAUAAAACUAAGUGCGUCUACGUUUAAUUGUAAUUUUGUUUGGGAGGGUCGUGCCGUAAACUAUGAGGCACAUAGAUUAGCUAAAUUUGCUCUUUCGCAGGGUCCGGGACGCCACUUGUGGCUUGGAAACCCCCAUGACCUUUUAUGUAUACCACACCAUGUGGUUUUUGGUGAUAAAUAA